rnacentral:lncRNA from 1 species
AGAAUAUUCUCUCAUUUCAGUUCUCUCAUAAAUAAUAGAUAUGGAGUCAAAGGAAAAGAGCUUAGAAUAUUAGAAUUUUAAAUAUGGAAUUGUUCUUAGGAAUCAACCAUAGCAACUGCCUUUUCACAGGAAAGGUAUGGUGCCAGAGUUGUGACCAGAUGACCAACACUGAAUUUCCAGUUGUAUUACAUAAUUCAUAACAAGAUCUGUGGGAAUGGUUUUCUGAGAAUGAAGAGGUUGUCUAGAAGACCGGAAAUGUCUAAGAGCAAUGAGUAGAAAGUGGUGCAUACUCUCAGCAGCAAGAUUUGCAUGUCACUCUGCUUGUAAGGAUUCCAAUGUGUAGUAUUUUCUAUUUAACUGUGUAUUUAAAAAAUAAAUAAAAUCAAGAAAUUUUUGAAAACAUUAUAUAA